rnacentral:rRNA from 1 species
UGUUUGAUGUUCUAACGUGGACCCGUGAUCCGGGUUGCGGACAGUGUCUGGUGGGUAGUUUGACUGGGGCGGUCUCCUCCUAAAGAGUAACGGAGGAGCACGAAGGUUGGCUAAUCCUGGUCGGACAUCAGGAGGUUAGUGCAAUGGCAUAAGCCAGCUUGACUGCGAGCGUGACGGCGCGAGCAGGUGCGAAAGCAGGUCAUAGUGAUCCGGUGGUUCUGAAUGGAAGGGCCAUCGCUCAACGGAUAAAAGGUACUCCGGGGAUAACAGGCUGAUACCGCCCAAGAGUUCAUAUCGACGGCGGUGUUUGGCACCUCGAUGUCGGCUCAUCACAUCCUGGGGCUGAAGUAGGUCCCAAGGGUAUGGCUGUUCGCCAUUUAAAGUGGUACGCGAGCUGGGUUUAGAACGUCGUGAGACAGUUCGGUCCCUAUCUGCCGUGGGCGCUGGAGAACUGAGGGGGGCUGCUCCUAGUACGAGAGGACCGGAGUGGACGCAUCACUGGUGUUCGGGUUGUCAUGCCAAUGGCACUGCCCGGUAGCUAAAUGCGGAAGAGAUAAGUGCUGAAAGCAUCUAAGCACGAAACUUGCCCCGAGAUGAGUUCUCCCUGAG